AGAAGAUUGACUUUAGCAAGACUGGAAUCCGCUGAUCAAAUCUUUAACAGUUUCAAGGUCCCUUUGCUACAUGAUAAAGCACCUCAAAUAUUUCUCUGCUCUCAUCAUUUAAUGGAAGAUAGAGAUACAGAAAUUCUUCCUCUUCUACUGCAGAAUAAUGAAUAGCUGGCCAGAGAUGUCUCAAACACUGCUAAUCUUCCCACUGCAUCAUGCGCCAUCAUUAAGAAUAAACAACUUGCUACCUUGACCCCUCGGGCUGAAGAGGCUUUGUUGUGAGGACCUGUCCUGUGUGUCUAAGGAGAUUCAGCAGCAUCUGAGGUGGUGCUGUCUACCUGCUGAGUUUUACAGUCUGAAUGGCACUUCCAUCAUGGAGUCAGUUGUGUUAAGAUCUGGAACCCUAUUACAACAGGACAGAUGAACUCUCAACAGCUAUGGUUGUCUGCACAAGACCUGUACAAGAUCAAACCAGUCUGCAAUCCAGCAUGGAGUGGGAGGAGCUUGAGGCUCCACCCCUACCCAAGGAGCUAUUGACAGCUGAUGCUUCUGGGGGUGGUGCUGUCAGUUUUCUUUAGGAGCAUGGCCCCUAGUAGGUCAACCACACUCCAGUGGAUGGCUCAAAACCCAGGAAUAUAUACGGGCAGCUUACAUUGGGCUCAGUGGGUUAUUAAAAAAAAAAGAAGGUUGAGGUUAGGGUCUAAGUAUACCUGUUCUUGUACUUUCUUCUUUUUCCUCUGCAGUCCCCAUUUGCCAAGCCACUUCAUCCCCCCCCCCACACACAUCCUUUCUUUUCUUUUCCCCAUUUAUAAUCUAUAAAAGAAAAGAAGUUGGAAAAGAAUGGGGUUUAUGGGGAUAAGGGGUUGAAUAUGAUCUAAAUACAUUGCAAGCAUGUGUCACAUUCUCCAAGAUUUCAUAAAAAUAUAUUUAAAAUACAUGUACCCUCAAAAGCUUGCCUGAAAUCCUAAAGGCAGUGAUAGUUAAAAAUAGACGUGCAGAGUCAAAGCAGAAAAAAAACCAGAAUAAAUGGAACUUAUGAAACCUUAGAAAUUAGACAUGUGUUAGGCAUAAAACUAUACUUCACCACCACAAGGAGAACAUUUCACAUAAUAACCUUUAAUAGGUUGACUUUUCUAAAAUACAGGGAAUUUGAUUUAGCAGUUCUUAUGUACAUAGCUGUUCUGAGAUGUCCUUAAAACCAAAAGGUUGAUGCCUUAAUAAAAGGCAUUAUAACAUGAGCCUAUUUGAAUUUGGCUUAUGAAAAACAGGACUGGAGAAUUUGAAAAGUGUGUAUAAACUGCAAAAGGAUUUAAUUAACGGAAACCCCAAGGACAGAACUUCUUCAAAUAAGCAAUUACUUUGGGGAUUAAUAGUGUAAAUAGGCUCCUGACUCAUUAGUGAAAGCCCCAGAAUCUGAGAUUUAGGGGCAACCCCCCUCUACCUAUUCUUUAAGUUAUUUCUGCCCAUGUGGUACCAUAUAGUUAAUAUGGGGCCCUGGUACAUUCAAAACUUUUUGAUAAUUUGUUCACAGACUGGGCUUAUGUUUACUUUUGCUUUGCAAAGGCUGUAUUUAUGGGUAGAUAAGAUAUGGUGUUUUAAACAUGUAAUUUCAGCCUUAUGUACAAUUUUUAGACAUAGAAUAAACCAUUUUCAGGGAACUUGGCCCUUUCUGAGCUCCUCCAUACAUCCAAUCUAUAUGCUAAUAACAGAAUGUUCAUAUGAUUUAUUGCAAAGGGUCCCCUUAAGGACUUCUACUUUGUAAUGUUUUGUUGAAGUUACUGUAUGUAGUUAAAGGUAAUAAAAGCCACAUUUGUUUAAGAGUUAUCUGUAAUUCAGUCCUCACACACAUUCAGGUAUAGUUCACUUCCCCAAGCCUGGAAUAAAUGAAAUGCUUACAAUAUUA